rnacentral:tRNA from 1 species
UGGGGUAUAGCCAAGUCGGUAAGGCAGCUGUUUUUGGUGCAGCCAUGCAUAGGUUCGAGUCCUAUUACCCCAA